GUUUGCUAGGCCCCAGCAUAGCCUUAUAAGAGACAGCUAUAUCUGGGUCCUUUCAGCAAAAUCUUGCUAGUGUAUGCAAUGGUGUCAGCGUUUGGAAGCUGAUUAUGGAAUGGAUCCCUGGAGAGUUUCAUUUCUUUGGGUAAGAUAGAGGUAGUGUGUGAGUGUGUGUGUAGUGUGAUGAUCCCCCUGUGUGUGUGUGUAUGUGUGUGUAGUAUGAUGAUCCCCCUAUGUGUGUGUAGUGUGAUGAUCCCCCUGUGUGUGUAUGUGUGUGUAUUGUGAUGAUCCCCGUGUGUGUGUGUAGUGUGAUGAUUCCCCUGUGUGUGUGUGUAUGUGUGUGUAGUAUGAUGAUCCCCCUGUGUGUGUAUGUGUGUGUAUGUGUGUGUAUGUGUAGUGUGAUGAUCCCUCUGUGUGUGAGUGUGUGUGUGUAGUGUGAUGAUCCUCCUGUGUGUGUGUGGUGUGAUGAUCCCCCUGUGUGUGUGUGUGUGUGUGUAGUCUGAUGAUCCUCCUAAUCAAGCUUGCUCAAACUGAGCUCACCAUGUAGCAGAGGGUGACCUUGAACUCUUGAGCUCUCUGCCUUCUCCCCAGCUGCUGAGAUUGCAGCCUGUGCUACCAUGGCCUUCAGCUUUCGUUUCCCUUUUCAGACGUUUUCUUGCACUUAAUAAAAAAAUCAUUCUCCAGGUGUGAUGGCGCAUACCUUUAAUCCCA
rnacentral:lncRNA from 1 species